UCAAACUUGGUCAUUUAGAGGAAGUAAAAGUCGUAACAAGGUUUCCGUAGGUGAACCUGCGGAAGGAUCAUUACAGAGUUAUGCCCUGAUGGGUAGACCUCCCACCCUUGUGUUUAUUACCUUUGUUGCUUUGGUGGGACGUACACCUGUGCCCCGGGCUCUCGCGCCCGGGUGUGCCCACCGGGGGAAACCCAAACCCGUUUUUUUGGUGGUCGUCUGAGUCUCAUAAUAAUAGUUAAAACUUUCAACAACGGAUCUCUUGGUUCUGGCAUCGAUGAAGAACGCAGC
rnacentral:misc_RNA from 1 species